AGACAAUCCAGACAAAACAUGUAAAGAAAAAUUAGAAAAAAAAAAAAAACAAAAUUAAUUUAAUUAAUUUACUAAAAUAUAUGCAUUUAUUUUACGUGACUCUACAAAUAACCAAAUUAUUCUCUCUCUCUCUCUCUCUCUCUUUCCGUUUUUUUUUUUUGCUUCUCCAUAAACUUGAUAUUUCGUGUCGCUUUGUAUAUAUGCGUAUAUGUAAUUCUUAUCAGGCCCUUGACAUAAGGUGUUUUCGCUCUCUGUUUAGUUCCUUGCACUCUUAUCUUUUUCUUUUUUUUUUUUUGUUUGUUGGUUAUUUGCGUGUAUAUUCAUUCCCUUUAUAUCAUAACGAGACAAUCGAACAAGCACACAAAUAAGUAAUGAAAUGGAAAAUCCACCACAAUUAUAUACGUGCGUAUGCCUUCCUUUGCAUGUAUUAUAAAUUUUUGUUUCUUUUUUGUAGGAAACGAACGAAUUAUUCUCAGCAGGUUGUAGAAAGUUAUACCACCAUGCGACGUUAAUGUUGUGUGAGUGUGCGUGUUGCGCUGUGUGUAUAGAUGUGUUUACAAUAUAUUACCUGAACUUCUGACUAGAAUUAUGCAUAAGCAUAUGUGUGUGUGUGUUUCGUGUUUUCUUUAAUAAUAUUUUAACAGAUUUCACGCAUUCGUAUACAUAUGUGUGUGCGGGCGGGCGGGCGCUUGUGUGUGUAUGUGUGUACGUUACUACUUUUUGACGGUUCAAAACGGCAAAUGAAAGAUUUUGUGGAUUGCGUUUCUCUAUUAAAAAAUAUGUAAUGACGAGUAUACCACAGAAGAGAGAAAGUUGGAAAGAGUUGCCAAACUUUUUUUUAUUAUUUAAAUAAGGGUUUUUUUGUUUUUUUAUUAAUUCUUUGCAAAAAGUUGAAAUAAAAUCUACUUAGCGGUCAUUAAGCAAAGAAAGGAAAGUAAGUGAAUCCAACGUAACUCUUUCUUUCUCUCUCUUACUCCAACUAGAAUAAUUUUUUAAUCAUUUAGAAAAAAUGUGUUGAGUAAUCAGAAUUAGAACCAAAACCGGUUUUGGGAAAAUAUUCGCAAAACAUUAGGAUAAAAUCACAAAUUUCAUGAUGCAACACGCAUCCCAUUACAUGGCUUUUAAAAUUGGCCAAGUAGUUAUGGGUAAGGACUUCACGAGUGUCGAUUUGCCGAUUUUGCUUCAAUACAAAUCUGAAUAAAUAUUGCGUUUCAACGCCACAGUUAUAUAGAAAAGCUUCUAUCUCGAAGAAGAGACGCGGAAUAACCCUCGAACCCUGUAAAAAUCGUGUUUAUUUGACUGACAGCAGCCUUCUGACUCAAAGCAACUUCCUAACUCACUACUCUGAAUAAGUAAUAAAAUGAUGAAAUCAUUUCGAAACCAUGCAACGAUUAUCUAAGUCGUAAGUUUCUCAAAAUUAUACUUGUGUGUUUUUGGCGUCUUCUCACUCACGGCUCGUUAUUAGACUAAUCAGAAAUCUUGAAGAAAAUGCCAUAUAAAAAGGAAGAAUUGUCUUGUCUUAGGAUCCAUUUCAUUGUGCAGAUUAAACAGAGAAACCUACCUAAGGAGCAGAGUGCAAUAAAGAUAAGGAUCUAUUUCAGUGCGCAGAUUGAGUAAAAAAAUCUACCUUUCGAGCAAAGUGAAGUAAAGAGGUAAAGAUCUAUUUUAUUGGUCUCUGAAAAGUAGCGGCAAUAGCUAGCUAGGAUGCAAUGAACUUAGUAUUCGCUCUUUUAUCCGCUUAUUAAAAAUUGAUUGAUUCUGACGACUUUGUUGUUUAGAGAAAAAUAAAUAGAAUUCUUUUCCUUAUUUUUUUGUGGACUAUAUUUACCAUGGGAACCAUUUUUAAUCUGAUGUAUAUGGAAUUACUUUUACUCCGCAUAGUCUAUCGUGUUUAUGGCGGCAGGAGGGAUUACAUUUGCGUAUAAAUUUCGUUUCCAUCACUCAUGUACAUAUUCCUACCUAUAGAAAUUUAUCGACCUUUCUUAAAACGUAAUAGUCCUUCUCCUCCUUGAAAUCUCAUAUCUAACUAUUCUUGCAAAAAUAAUUGUUUUGCUGGGUAAAAAUAAUUGUUGAGAGCAAAUGUAUUUCAUUGUAUCUUCCUUCAUAUAUAAGACCGUAAAGAUCUCAAUCACAAACAUCGGCUAGAAAAGACUAAUUGAAGAUCUCAGGUAUGAUUAUAUACAUUCCUUAUAGGAUAUAUCUAGUGGACUGAAUGAAAAUCGCAGAUUUUUGAAGGACAUAUGCCAAAAUCACACAGAAGCUUACUAAUCAUAGACUGGAGAAGUGUUGUAUUAUCCCUUCUUACAGUUAUUUAGCUAUUCGUAAAGCUUGUGGGCUCUUGUCUUCCCGGUUCUUAAAUCCUUACACUUGAAUGAAGUUGAACUUUCCCAUCGAAAUUUUCUGGACUGUAAAAGAUUUCAUAAAACGAGACACAAGGGCCCCAUAACGAUGCCUAAGAAACCUUAGUAUAAGCUCUUAAGAUUAAUUAAUCUGUUACUCCUCCUUAGGAAAGUGUGCAAAAAAAACCUUUGCAUGUCCAAAUUAGUUUAGGGACUAGUUCUUUUAGUUAAGGGAAGAUAUGGUAAAUUAUUUCAGAAAUACUUCAGAAAUUAAAUACGGAAGGUCCUUCUUUGUUUUGAUUAACGAAACAGUUAUUAAAUAUUUAUUUUCUAAGUUUUACCCCAUAAAAAGUAUGCAAAUUUUGAAGCCUCUUGUAUGAUCUAUUAGUUUCCCUAUUUAAGAAGAAGCUUGUUAGACAUUUCUAAACUUGUCUUCUGUAUAUUUCUUUACACUUAGUCUUAAUCUGGCCUAUCACAGCCAACUUGCUUUGUUUCGAGUUUAUUACUCACUUUACCGGGGGGGGAUUGCAAUUUCUGCCAACAGAUAUUAGAUUAGAGCAAAUAUCUUAAAAUAGGUCUUGAACUCUCAGCAAGCAUAAAAACGUCUCAUUGACUUCCCCGAAGGAAUGUAUGAGAAAUAAUGCAGAUCGACGUUCUUCGAAGCUGAAGGUAUACCUUACAUUUGCUGCGAGAGAAUAAAUGGCAAACAGUACAGAUCCAAAUUCUUCGAAGGCGAAGGUAUAAUUUAUGUAUGGUGGAGAUCCAUAUUUUUGGAAGGCGAAGAUAACAUUUGCAUUUUGUACGAAUUAUAUAAAAUUCGAAAUCAAAAUUUUAUUUGUAUUAGAAAACACAGCUUACUCUUGAAGCGAAGUAUUGUAAAAUCUGGCAACAUUUGCAUGUAAGAAUAUUUAGCAAAAGAAAA